rfam:Camelus ferus unplaced genomic scaffold scaffold555, whole genome shotgun sequence.
GAGGGUCUAGCUCAGAGGUAGAGUGCGUGCUUAGCAUGCACAAGGCCCUGGGUUCAACCCCCAGUACCUCCA